AACGCAUUCCACUUUAAGAAAAUCCAAUAUGCAAAAUCUAAAUUUACUCUCUGAAUUUAGAUAAAGAACAGUUUGACAAAAGAAUUCUAAUUGUCACAGCAGUUCUAUUGAGGAACCAGGGUGAGUGUUUCCAGGCCUCCCCAGCAUGCAGGCAGAAAUGCAGGAAACAGAGACACUUCGAGCCAGAGGGCCGAAGCUUUGCCCACUGAAGACCCCAGGAGGAUGGCCAGGGUCUCAGAGGGAGUAGAGGAAGGGGUCAGUAAACAGUUGCUAUGGAGACACAGGGAUGUGUCGAGUGGAAGUACAAGACCUCGAACUCCAAAUCCCAGGGCAGCUUGGACCCAAGACCAAGCCCAGAAGGGUGUGAUUGGAGCUGCUUUUUCAGCCCGAGCCCCAGAAUGAAGACACAUGGAACAGAGUCACAAACAACCUGCAGCAGAUAUGUAUGAUGAACAAAAAAAAAUAACUUAUGUUGCUAUAA